rnacentral:tRNA from 1 species
AUUUAUAUAGUUUAAUAAAAACGUUUUAUUUUCAAUAAAAAGAAGAAAAAUUUUUUUCUAUAAAUA